rnacentral:rRNA from 1 species
CCAGCAGCCGCGGUAAUUCCAGCUCCAAUAGCGUAUAUUAAUGUUGUUGCAGUUAAAAAGCUCGUAGUUGGAUUUCUGACAAGAGCGGCCGGUCCGAGCUUUCGAGCUCGAGUACUUUGUGUUGUCUCUAGUCAUCCUUAUGGAGAACGUUUGUGGCAUUAACUUGUCGUGUUCGGGACCCAUAUCGUUUACUGUGAAAAAAUUAGAGUGUUCAAAGCAGGCAAUCGCUGUGAAUACAUUAGCAUGGAAUAAUAAGAUAGGACUUUGGUACUAUUUUGUUGGUUUGCAUACCAAGGUAAUGAUUAAGAGGGACAGUUGGGGGUAUUCGUAUUUAUAUGUCAGAG